CAAAUGAAGUCUGAUAAAUAAUCGAGGACACUAAGGUCAUGCUCCACUACAAUUACAUAGCUAUUAGGUCUGAGCAAAGAUCUGAUAACUUGGGCAGCUUUAAGCCUCUGUUUGACAUCAAGAUAACUUGAAGGUUCAUCAAACAUAUAUAUCUCUGCAUUCUGUAUUGCAACGACAGCAAUAGCAAAACGCUGUAGCUCUCCACCCGACAAAUCCCCCACAUUACGAUCUAUAACCUGGUUCAGCUCAAGAUCAUCACAAAGUUCUGCUUUCAUCUCUCUCUCAUCUUUUUGGUCAAGCACCUGCCCUACAUUGCC
rnacentral:misc_RNA from 1 species